rnacentral:ncRNA from 2 species
UAUGUUAUAAAGCACCCACAUAUCGACCACAUCCAGGCGAAGGGAAUCCCGUUAAAAUCGGGAGCGGACCCGCCGCUGUAAUCCCGGCCCAGAAGCAUCGGGCCAUACUUGCUGCCAGAACAUGCCACUGACCCUAACCGGUUGGGAAGGCAGGCAGCGAGGGGAGAGCCAGAAGACCUGCAUGGAUGUUCUCGCACUG